UGCCGUUCGCAGUCGAUUCAAGCAGUGGUUGUUCUGGUGGUUACCCAGCGUGUUCCAAGAGAACGCGUGCCGGUCUGAUGCCUCCUGAUUACGUUUCUUGAUCGUUCCUGCAUUCUCAGGGCGCGAGCCCGCAAUUUUUUAUAUGGAACGCAAAUGAGCACUCAAACCGGUACCGUCAAGUGGUUCAACGACGCCAAGGGCUUCGGCUUCAUCACUCCGGAAGGCGGUGGCGACGACCUCUUCGCCCACUUCUCCGAAAUCCAGAGCAAGGGCUUCAAGAGCCUGGCUGAAAACCAGCGUGUGGAAUUCGAAGUCAAGACCGGCCCGAAGGGUCUGCAGGCGGCCAACAUCCGCCCGCUGUAAUCGACUCGCUUCGGUUAUCCGGAAACGCGGCCAGAGGCCGCGUUUUUGCU
rnacentral:sRNA from 1 species